AUGCCACCCAGGCAAGACAACAAGACGAAGGAUAACAUAAAAUUGGUCAAGAAGGAUAAAGACCCAGGAAACAAGUCUGUGGGCAUGACCUCUAAGAAGUGGCCCAAAGCCUAAGUUCAGGAAAAACACAACCACCUAGUCCUGCUUGACACGGCCAUGCAGGUGCAUCUCUGUAAGGAUGCUCCUGGCUAAAAGCUGUGGUCUCAGAGAGGCUGAAGACUCGUGGUUCCUUGGCUAAGGUAGCCCUUCUGGAGCUCCUUAGGAAGGGACUGAAAAGGUCAUUUCAUGGCACAAAGCCCAGGAAUACAAAGGGAGGAGAUACCCCAGCUAUCGGCAAAGAAGAUG
rnacentral:lncRNA from 1 species